rnacentral:lncRNA from 1 species
GUUCAAGAAUGGCCUCAGAAGAACUCCAUAUUGGCCACACUCGUUGCCUACCUUUCACUUCAUCAUAUGUGUAUAGGCUUCUCCUGAAUGCAAGCACAUACUUUGCAACCCCAGAAUUGGACGAAUACGGUGUAUGAGUCACACACGAUUGGAGCCUACCACGGUGGAAGGCCACGAAAGAGUGUUCAAAGCACUCUCACGCUUAUCAACUUAAUAAUGAUUUGGUUGAGGGUUUUAGGUCUCAUCACAUAUAAAUAUUCAUUUUAAUCUCUAUUAAAACAAUUUUGGUCCUCUUACAACUAUUGGUCCAUUUGAUUGUUUUAGUUGUAUAUAAUACUCCCACUAUGCUUUUAAAACGAUUUUUAAAGCAAGAGUAUAUGAUACUAUUAACAUAAACUUUGCAUUCAUUUGAUGGACUAUAUAUAGUUGCCUUAGGGCCUAAGGAUGAUUAUGAACCUUUGUUUAGAUUCAACACGAGCCUUGUGUUGAAUCUCGGUCUAGGAAUGAUGAUUGAUUUUAGUUACGCGUUUAAUCACAUUAAGGCGUGUUGUCUUAUGGGCG